rnacentral:rRNA from 1 species
UACGUAGGGUGCAAGCGUUGUCCGGAAUUAUUGGGCGUAAAGAGCUCGUAGGCGGUCUGUCGCGUCUGCUGUGAAAACUCAGGGCUUAACCCUGAGCUUGCAGUGGGUACGGGCAGACUAGAGUGCGGUAGGGGAGACUGGAAUUCCUGGGUGUAGCGGUGAAAUGCGCAGAUAUCAGGAGGAACACCGGUGGCGAAGGCGGGUCUCUGGGCCGAUACUGACGCUGGAGGAG